rnacentral:tRNA from 6 species
GCCUGGGUGGUGGAAUUGGCAUACACGUACGCUUGAGGUGCGUAUGUCGAAAGACUUAAGGGUUCGACUCCCUUCCCAGGCA